rnacentral:rRNA from 1 species
GACGAACGCUGGCGGCGUGCUUAACACAUGCAAGUCGAACGGAAAGGCCCUGCUUUUGUGGGGUGCUCGAGUGGCGAACGGGUGAGUAACACGUGAGUAACCUGCCCUUGACUUUGGGAUAACUUCAGGAAACUGGGGCUAAUACCGGAUAGGAGCUCCUGCUGCAUGGUGGGGGUUGGAAAGUUUCGGCGGUUGGGGAUGGACUCGCGGCUUAUCAGCUUGUUGGUGGGGUAGUGGCUUACCAAGGCUUUGACGGGUAGCCGGCCUGAGAGGGUGACCGGCCACAUUGGGACUGAGAUACGGCCCAGACUCCUACGGGAGGCAGUAGUGGGGAAUAUUGCACAAUGGGCGGAGGCCUGAUGCAGCAACGCCGCGUGCGGGAUGACGGCCUUCGGGUUGUAAACCGCUUUCGCCUGUGACGAAGCGUGAGUGACGGUAAUGGGUAAAGAAGCACCGGCUAACUACGUG